rnacentral:rRNA from 1 species
UAGAAAUCUCAGUAUGUGUACUGCCGUCGUAAGCACACCUCUAAAAGAUUAGUGUGCAAUAAAGAUAACUCUAAUACGUCAGGUCAAAGUGCAACUAAUGAAGAGGUGAUGAUGGGUUACACUCGCCACAUAGACACGGAAUAUAUAAUUAACUUAUAUAUAAAGGAGGACUUGGUUGUAAUUAAAUUUCAACAAUAAAAUGAAGGUGAAUUUAAGACAUGCACACAUCGCCCGUCACUCUCUCCCCAAGGAGAGAUAAGUCGUAACAAAGUAGGUGUAACGGAAGUUGUACCUGU